rnacentral:rRNA from 1 species
AUACGGAGGAUGCGAGCGUUAUCCGGAUUUAUUGGGUUUAAAGGGUGCGUAGGCUGUGCGUUAAGUCAGGGGUGAAAUGCCGUCGCUCAACGACGGAGCUGCCCUUGAUACUGGCGUGCUGGAGUACGGAUGCCGUUGGAGGAAUGAGUGGUGUAGCGGUGAAAUGCUUAGAUAUCACUCAGAACACCGAUUGCGAAGGCAUCUGACGAAUCCGUCACUGACGCUGAGGCACGAAAGCGUGGGGAUAGAACAGGAUUAGAUACCCUGGUAUUCCACGCCGUAAACGAUGAUGACUAACCGUCGGCGAUAGACAGCCGGUGGCCAAGCGAAAGCGAUAAGUCAUCCACCUGGGGAGUACGACCGCAAGGUUGAAACUCAAAGGAAUUGACGGGG